CCAUAUUGAUAACCAUUCCAGCUGCUAGUCCCAUCCUGGCAUUAUUAGUCAUUACAUCAAUACUCCGGGAACAUAUCAAACGCAUGCCAUAAAUUACUACUGCUACUGAUGUUUGAGUAGUGAAGAAGAGGUCUUCGAACUGUUCGUCGAAGUGCUAGCAUCAGAGGUUGUGGUACAAGAGGUGUCCAUCGGCAUGCUGGACCACGUCGUCGACGAUGACAUCCCAACGGUGUGGGAGGAUGAUGAUGACGUCCCAAUGAUAUUGGCCCAGGAGAGCGGCCUCAACGGCUCAUACAUCGGCACUGGCAUCUUGGAAGGAAGCACCGGCAGCUGGUAGGCUUGGUCGACCUUGGGCUGGAGCGUGGCCAGGGCUGUCCUGAUGGAUGGUCGUGCGCUCGGGUUUGGGUGCGCGCACCACAACCCAACAACCAUCACACUCUCCACCUCCGCAGUGUUGUAGUCACCGUUCAGCCGCUCGUCGGUGGCCUCAAGGAUGGAUCCCCGGCCAUAUAGUCCCCAGACCCACUCGACCAGCCGGAAGACGCCGCCAUUCUUCUCCUUGUCCUGGUUGGCCAGGCUCAUUGGCCUCCUGCCGCAUGCCACCUCCAGUAGAACCACGCCGAAGCUGUACACGUCGGACUCGGCGCUUGCCUUGCCGGUGUUCACGCAAUCGGGAUCCAAGUAGCCUGGAGUUCCCGAGAUUGCAGUCAUGGUCUGCAUCCCAGCGGCGUGGUCAACGAGCCUUGCGAGUCCGAAGUCGCCUAGCUUGGCUCCAAAGGACUCGUCAAGCAUCACGUUGCUGGGCUUGAUGUCCCGGUGAAGCACACAUUGCUCCCACUCCUCGUGAAGGUAGAGCAGUGCAGACCCAAGCUCCAGCAAUAUCUUCAUCCUGCGCUUGCAUUUGCAACCAUCAACAUCUAUAUAUAGUAACAUGAUCGCGCCCGGCCGCGCAUACAAGAUACAUCUACUCCCUCCGUUUCUAAAUAUAAAUCCUUUUAGAGAUUUCAAUAUGGGAUACAUAUGGAGCAAAAUGAGUAUCUACGCUCUAAAAUAUGUUUAUAUACAUCCGUAUGUAGUUUAUAUUGAAAUCUGUAAAAAGACUUAUAUCUAGGAACGAAGGGAGUACUAAUUAAGAUCGAUGGUACUACGUACCUCAUUGGCCAUGUGAGGAAGGUGCCCUGCUUGCCAUGGAGAUGGAUGUCGAGGCUGCGAUUGGGCAUGAGCUCGUAGACCAGAAGGAGCUCCUGACCAUGGCCAUGGCACCAGCCUAGGAGCUGCACGAGGUUCCGGUGACGCAGCCUGCUUAUCACCUUGACCUCGGAUUUGUACUCCUUCUUUCCCUGUAUGGAAGCAGGGCCGGUCCUGAGAUUUUGGGGGCCCGGGGCGAAACUAAAACGCGGGGCCCUUAGUAUAGACAUCAUAAUAAUAACAAUGAAAUAUGUAUAAAAGAAAUAUCGAAGGGUAUAAAAGAGGGUAUUGACGUUGAAUAGCUCAACACCGAAGGGUGUGACGUUUACACCUUGAGCUUUCUUAGCUCCGUGCCAUAGUGUCGGCGUGUGCGUUGACGGCGUCAACUAGUCUACCACAACUCCUUGUCAUACGUAGCUGAAUCCAGUCCAUCAACAACCCGUUGGGGUCUCCGGAAAGACGACCACCAUUCGUUAGGAUGUGCGCCUUGUAAUGACUUAUAUCUUCCAAAUAAAAAGUCCUUUUCAUGUUAACCUCGCCCCCCCGGCAUUGCAGCUGAUGUGACUAAUGGCUGGUUGUGGGCGAAGAUUCUCUCCACAGGGUUCCAAUCCAAGCACACAAACAAACACAUGUAUUUAAUGAAUGAAAAACCGUCCAUUUUAGAGUAGACUGAUUUUAAGUUUGAUAUAAAUAAAUUUUUUUCAUCUUCAGGCAUACAAGCAGCGACACAUGCAUGUCACUAUCAGAGCUGUCUGAUUUCUUAUAUUUUAAUAAUUCGAUAUCAAUCAUUCUUUUUUUUUUUUGCACUACACAAACAAUGGCAUAUGGCACUAUCGACUAAGAACUCAUUUUCCAUGAUUAAAAAACCUCAAUUAAAGUCUUGCUUGCUAUGGUUUACAUGUUUCAAAGCUUGUAAAAACAAGUGUAAUGGACUGUUGGUCUAGAUAAAGAUUUCACACAAAAAAUAAACACAACAAAAACCCAGUCUACCUUAUUAUUAUUACCUACCACCAUAAACUAUUCAGAGAACAAGUGAUUUUAUGUUUGUCAUGGUCAUCUGCCAUGAAGGUCAGUAAUCAGACCAACUCCAAUGUGAAAUUUGUACAUAUCAUGGUCAGCUAGUAUGUACUCCCUCCGUCCCAUAAUAUAAAAACGUUUUUGUCACUACACUAGGAUAAAAAACGCUCUUAUAUUAUGGGACGGAGGGAGUAUGUACUAAGUUAUCGAAGAUCUUGAUAUUGCAGCGAUGCCUCUAACUUGAGCUUCAUCUCCAGGCUUUUCGUGCACAGAACACUCGAAGUGCAAAGUUGAGGCUCAGAUUAUGUGCAAAAACGACAUCAAGGAAGGAGUUGAGAUCUUCAGAAGUGGGGCAAUGUUGGGAAUGCUGGCAUGACCUUCUUUCUUGGUUACAUCUUUGUUCCCAGUGUUUUCACUUUAGCAAGCAAGUAAAUAAACCACCGUGGAGAUAACUGGGUUUAGGUAAUGUUGGUAUGUGCCACUAGAAUUUUAUAUCUACUAAAUGGCUUUUGCUUGUAGUAUGGCUUCGAUUUCCUGAUCAUAACAGAUGAACUUUGCCUAUGUUUUUAUAAACACGGCCGGUUCCAAAUCUAGAGAAAGGAGGAGGGUUGUGAUAGGUUUAGUGAGCCAACAUAAAAAACCAAACAUUCUUACGAAUAUGAAACACUCGAACAUACUGAUAACCAUUCCAGCUGCCAGUCCCAUCCUGGCAUCAUUAGUCAUUACAUCGACACUCCGGGAACAAGAAUUACUACUGCUACUGAUGUUUGAGUAGUGAAGAAGAGGUCUUCGAACUGUCUGUCGAAGUGCUAGCGUCGGAGGCUGUGGUGCAAGAAGUGUGCAUCGGCAUGCUGGACGACGUCGAUGAUGACAUCCCAACGGUGUGGGAGGAUGAUGAUGACAUCCCAACGACAUUGGCCCAGGAG
rnacentral:lncRNA from 1 species